rnacentral:lncRNA from 1 species
CCUCUCAUAAAAUAAAAGACAUUUUGUGUUCAUAAUUUAGGUUUAGAGUGUACUUUUUAUGAUUGUUUUUCAUUGUGGUUGUAUUUAUGUGCCUUUUUGUUAUAGCACGUAGGUGUGAAAAUUAUGUAUUUAGUUUUCCUUCAAAUAUUUUUUUUAUCCAGGGUUCAGUUUUUUUUUUUUUCCUUCUAUUUAACUAUUUGCAUUUUCAGGGUAACAAAAUUCAUGCUAUUGUAUGAAGAAAUAUGAUCUACAAAUUUCAGAAGGAUUUGAAUGAAGGAAAGGUCUACUUUGAUGUUGCGCUACAAAUCUUGGAGCUUAUUGGACAACGAAACAUGAAUACAAACUAAAUUUUGUGAAAUUAUGCGGAAUGGAUAGU